rnacentral:rRNA from 1 species
AACGAUCGCUGGCGGCAUGCCUAACACACGCAACUCGAACGAGACCUUCGGGUCUAGUGGCGCACGGGUGCGUAACGCGUGGGAAACUGCCCUUAGGUUCGGAAUAACUCCCCGAAAGGGGUGCUAAUACCGGAUAAUGUCUUCGGACCAAAGAUUUAUCGCCUUUGGAUGGGCCCGCGUUGGAUUAGCUAGUUGGUAGGGUAAAAGCCUACCAAGGCGACGAUCCAUAGCUGGUCUGAGAGGAUGAUCAGCCACACUGGGACUGAGACACGGCCCAGACUCCUACGGGAGGCAGCAGUAGGGAGUAUUGGACAAUGUGCGAAAGCCUGAUCCAGCAAUGCCGCGUGAGUGAUGAAGGCCUUAGGGUUGUAAAGCUCUUUUACCCGGGAUGAUAAUGACAGUACCGGGAGAAUAAGCUCCGGCUAACUCGGUG